GACGAACGCUGGCGGCGUGCCUAAUACAUGCAAGUCGAACGCAGUUGCGAACGGGUGAGUAACGCGUAGGUAAACGCCUCAUAGCGGGGGAUAACUAAUGGAAACGAUAGGUAAUACCCCAAACUUUGGGAUGGACCUGUGUUGCAUUAGGUAGUUGGAGCGGUAAAGGCCCACCAAGGCGACGAUACAUAGCCGACCUGAGAGGGUGAUCCGCCCACAUGGGAAUUGGACACGGCCCAGGAUCCGUCGGGAGGGAGCAGUAGGGAAUCUUCGGCAAUGGACGGAAGUCUGAACGAGCAACGCCGCGUGGGUGAAGAAGGUUUUCGGAUCGUAAAGCUAUGUUGUUAGAGAAGCGGUAACUAAACAGAAAGGGACGGCUAACUACGUGCCAGCAGCCGCGGUAAUUC
rnacentral:rRNA from 1 species